UCCAAGUCGUUUUCCUGUCAAUUUGCCAGCUUUGCGUUCCAUUUGUACUUUUCUUUGUGAUUUGACUUGUCGACUUCGCUUUUUAAGAAUACAACUUAAAAUGGAUAGGAACACUGAUUCUCUAGUGGAAGAUGAACUGCCUGGCAGUAGUUCGGUUUCUGAAAGUCCUGGGGAACAGGAAAACCUGGGGAAUAAUUAUUUGAAUAAUGCUAACGACAAGCAAAAUGUAAUGGAACUACAAAAAUCGAUUCAAUCUAUAUUAGUGGUAAUGAAUCAGACAUAUACAACGUACAGGAGCUUAAUGAAUGAUUUUACCUUCGAACUUGGUAAACUUCGCAAACUUAACAAGAAAAAACGUAUUGUCCACAAAAGUUUGGCAAGAAUCCACGCUAUACGGGCUCUGUGUGAAAUUGAUUUAGCCAGAUCGAUCAAAGAGUUGAAACACCAGCGUGUUCUUGUUGCUCAAUGGAAAUCAUACCAUAUUAUAAAGAGCAAUGGACUAGAAAAUAUGCCAGCUGAAAUAUCCACUAUACUAGGCAAAUACAAAAAUCUCAUACGAUUCAGGAAGUUGCGCGUUACUAACCUGAAAAAGCAAUUAAAGAAAAUGAACAGCCAAAUAUCUCGCAUACUCCAAUUCUUAAAAAAAUCUGACCAGAAAGCACGCAAGCUAGAAGAAAAUUUAAAAAUUCUUUCGAGGCGACUCUAUUAACUUUGAAGGCCACAUCAUUUGGUAUUCGAGUUAAAAGAACUUUCAGUUGCAGAAGAAUUCAGAAGGAUGUUCCUUAUUUCCCUAUCAAUCACCGCUCUUGGGCGGAUAACUUGUAUUGCAUAGCUGAUUAAAACCCAUGGAAAUUAA